rnacentral:tRNA from 11 species
UGGCCGUUCGGAGGUUUGAACUCCAGAUAUCUGACACGCGAGGUAAGCAUGUUACCAUUAGUCCACCAGCC